rnacentral:rRNA from 1 species
AGAGUUUGAUCCUGGCUCAGGAUGAACGCUAGCGGCAGGCUUAACACAUGCAAGUCGAGGGGUAACAGGAGUAGCUUGCUACUUGCUGACGACCGGCGCACGGGUGCGUAACGCGUAUAGAAUCUACCUUGUACUAGGGGAUAGCCUUUGGAAACGAAGAUUAAUACCCUAUAGUAAGUAUUUAUGGCAUCAUUUAUACUUUAAAGGUUACGGUACAAGAUGACUAUGCGUCCUAUUAGUUUGUUGGUAAGGUAACGGCUUACCAAGACUUCGAUAGGUAGGGGCCCUGAGAGGGGGAUCCCCCACACUGGUACUGAGACACGGACCAGACUCCUACGGGAGGCAGCAGUGAGGAAUAUUGGACAAUGGAGGCAACUCUGAUCCAGCCAUGCCGCGUGCAGGAUGACGGCCCUAUGGGUUGUAAACUGCUUUUAUGUAGGAAGAAACACUCUCACGUGUGAGAGCUUGACGGUACUACAAGAAUAAGGACCGGCUAACUCCGUGCCAGCAGCCGCGGUAAUACGGAGGGUCCAAGCGUUAUCCGGAAUCAUUGGGUUUAAAGGGUCCGUAGGCGGGCUAUUAAGUCAGAGGUGAAAGUUUGCAGCUCAACUGUAAAAUUGCCUUUGAAACUGGUAGUCUUGAAUUAUUAUGAAGUGGUUAGAAUAAGUAGUGUAGCGGUGAAAUGCAUAGAUAUUACUUAGAAUACCAAUUGCGAAGGCAGAUCACUAAUAAUAUAUUGACGCUGAGGGACGAAAGCGUGGGGAGCGAACAGGAUUAGAUACCCUGGUAGUCCACGCCGUAAACGAUGGAUACUAGCUGUUCGGAUUUAUCUGAGUGGCUAAGCGAAAGUGAUAAGUAUCCCACCUGGGGAGUACGUUCGCAAGAAUGAAACUCAAAGGAAUUGACGGGGGCCCGCACAAGCGGUGGAGCAUGUGGUUUAA